AUCUAUGUGGACUAAUUGAAAAUGGUAUUCCAUCGUCGGAUUUCAACAACUUCAUCCAUAUACACUUCCUGAUGGAGAUCAAGUCAAACCAAAUGGCAUUUACUUGGCCAAACCAUAGAACUUCCCACACUAGUUAAAUUGGAUAGGCGUUUAAUGUCCUUAAAAUGGAUAACAGCCUUUCCUUUCUCUCUCCAUAGACCACCAGCAAAGAAUACAUUGGAACACUACCCUAUCC
rnacentral:lncRNA from 1 species